GGGGGGGGGGGGGGGUGGGGGGGGCGGGUGCGGGUCGGGGGGGGGCGGAGUGCGGGCGUGCUCUUACGGGUGGCGAGUGGCGGACGGGUGGGGGAUACGGCGGCCUCUCCUGUUUCGUGGGGGAUCACGUAGUGAAACUUACGCUAGUACCGCAUACGCCCUACGGUUGAAAGCCGGUGAUCUUCGUACCUUGCUCUAUUGAUUGACGCGAUGUCUGAUUAGCUAGUUGGCGGGGUAACGACACACCAAGGCGACGGUCCGCAGGUGGUCUGAGAGGAUGAUAAGCCACACUGGAACGGAGACACGGUCCAGAACCCUACGGGAGGCAGCAGUGGGGAAGAUUGGACAAUGGGCGCAAGCCUGAUCCAGCCAUACCGCGUGGGUGAAGAAGGCCUUCGGGUUGUAAAGCCCUUUUGUUGGGAAAGAAAAGCAGCAGGUUAAUACCCCGCUGUUCUGACGGUACCCAAAGAAUAAGCACCGGCUAACUUCGU
rnacentral:rRNA from 1 species